rnacentral:RNase_P_RNA from 1 species
CGACAAGCGUGGCCUGUUGAUCCGUAAAGGGUAGGAAAGUCCGGACACCAUAGGGCAACAUAGCGGUUAAUGGCCGUCAUCCGUGAGGGUAGGACAAGUGCAACAGAAAGCAAGUACAGUUCGGCUGUAGUGAAAUCAGGUAAACUCUAUGUGGUGCAAUGCUAUGUAUACUGACAAUUAAGGGCGGCUCGUCCAAUGUCGGGGGGUAAGCAGCUACAUCGUACUGGCAACAGUACGGGCAGAUAAAUAACAGGCAUCCCGUCCCCAGGGACGGGAUACAGAAUCCGGCUUAUAACGCUUGUCGUUUU